CAAAUACUCCCUUCGUUCGGAAAUACUUGUCAUCAAAAUGGAUAAAAGGAAAUGUAUCUAGACGUAUUUUAGUUUUAGAUACAUCUAUUUUUAUCCAUUUUGAUGACAAGUAUUUUUGGACGGAGGGAGUAGAAA
rnacentral:pre_miRNA from 1 species